CUGCAGUCGAACGGCAGCACGGGUGCUUGCACCUGGUGGCGAGUGGCGAACGGGUGAGUAAUACAUCGGAACAUGUCCUGUAGUGGGGGAUAGCCCGGCGAAAGCCGGAUUAAUACCGCAUACGAUCUACGGAUGAAAGCGGGGGACCUUCGGGCCUCGCGCUAUAGGGUUGGCCGAUGGCUGAUUAGCUAGUUGGUGGGGUAAAGGCCUACCAAGGCGACGAUCAGUAGCUGGUCUGAGAGGACGACCAGCCACACUGGGACUGAGACACGGCCCAGACUCCUACGGGAGGCAGCAGUGGGGAAUUUUGGACAAUGGGCGAAAGCCUGAUCCAGCAAUGCCGCGUGUGUGAAGAAGGCCUUCGGGUUGUAAAGCACUUUUGUCCGGAAAGAAAUCCUUGGCUCUAAUACAGCCGGGGGAUGACGGUACCGGAAGAAUAAGCACCGGCUAACUACGUGCCAGCAGCCGCGGUAAUACGUAGGGUGCAAGCGUUAAUCGGAAUUACUGGGCGUAAAGCGUGCGCAGGCGGUUUGCUAAGACCGAUGUGAAAUCCCCGGGCUCAACCUGGGAACUGCAUUGGUGACUGGCAGGCUAGAGUAUGGCAGAGGGGGGUAGAAUUCCACGUGUAGCAGUGAAAUGCGUAGAGAUGUGGAGGAAUACCGAUGGCGAAGGCAGCCCCCUGGGCCAAUACUGACGCUCAUGCACGAAAGCGUGGGGAGCAAACAGGAU
rnacentral:rRNA from 1 species